AGUCGUACGAGAAGGUUCCUUCGGGAACUGGAGAGUGGCGCACGGGUGAGUAACGCGUGGGGACCUACCUCUUAGUGGGGGAUAACGGUUGGAAACGACCGCUAAUACCGCAUACGCCCUUCGGGGGAAAGAUUUAUCGCUAAGAGAUGGACCCGCGUUGGAUUAGAUAGUUGGUGAGGUAAUGGCUCACCAAGUCGGCGAUCCAUAGCUGGUUUGAGAGGAUGAUCAGCCACACUGGGACUGAGACACGGCCCAGACUCCUACGGGAGGCAGCAGUGGGGAAUAUUGGACAAUGGGGGCAACCCUGAUCCAGCCAUGCCGCGUGAGUGAAGAAGGCCUUCGGGUUGUAAAGCUCUUUCAGAUGCGAAGAUGAUGACGGUAACAUCAGAAGAAGCCCCGGCUAAUUUCGUGCCAGCAGCCGCGGUAAUACGAAAGGGGCAAGCGUUGUUCGGAUUUACUGGGCGUAAAGGGCACGCAGGCGGUCUUGCCAGUCAGGGGUGAAAGCCCGGGGCUCAACCCCGGAACUGCCUCUGAUACUGCAAGACUAGAGACUAGGAGAGGGUGGUGGAAUUCCCAGUGUACAGGUGAAAUUCGUAUAUAUUGGGAGGAACACCAGAGGCGAACGCGGCCACCUGGACUAGAUCUGACGCUCAGGUGCGAAAGCGAGCAGAGCAAACAGGAUUAGAUACCCUGCACGCCCACGCCGCAAACGAUGAGUGCUAGUCGUCGGGACUUCCUUUACGGCGACGCAUCUAAC
rnacentral:rRNA from 1 species